GUGGGAGGGGGCUUGCCCCCGAUAGCAUUGGUUAAGGCACUCUAUUUCGGGCUGAUACACCGCAAUCGGGGGCAAGCCCCCUCCCAC
rnacentral:misc_RNA from 1 species